UUAGGCCAGUAGAUAUUCCUGUAAGGUCUUGCUCUGCUUCUUGGUGGUUAGGUGACUUUGACCCUGUUCGCUUAACCAGAGUGAAGUCAGAGCCUUCAGAGUUCUCCUGUCCUCCUCCGGGAGAGAUAGCUGACAGUACCUGCCUGAUCGGAUUUGGGGGGCCUCAUAAGAGAAGCUAUGGAACUGCUUUGCAAACAUCGAGGAGGGGCUUGCAAAUAUCAGUGAUUACUAUUUAGCUAAUUGGGUGCCUCCCAAAGCCUUUGAAAGACAUCCCUUGCAACAAAAUGAAAAUGUAUAAAAAAUAUUUCUUUUUGUUUUCACGCAAUGCAACUAUUUAAUGGCCCUCUCUCCCAGAGGCUGAAAGGCAGUCCAAAGAGGUUGUCAAGGGCAAGACUGAGGCUAGAAGACGAUGUUCAUGUCCUGUCUCUGCCAUUUCCUAGCCAUGUGACCUUGGUCAAGUCACUAACAUCUAUGAACUUAAUCUGUAAAAUGAAGAUAAUAAGAGAACCGAUCAUCUUAACUCAUGUGCCAAGGGCUUGGGGCUGAGCACAGUGAGGACUCCAUAAAAUCACCUCAUUAUUUUUAUUACCUCCUGGCGAAAUAGAAUUCAUUAGUGUGCUAAGUAUUUAUUAAGCCUUGAGUUAUGCCUGGCAUGGAGGGAAAAGAGGAAAAUAAUAGUAAAGAGUGGAGCCAUGACUCCUGGCGUCAGGCCCUUCACAGGCCACAGAUCCACUGGGUCAGCCCACAUUCCGUGAUCGAUUUCCAAGGAGCAGACCACCACACGCUAAGAGCAGGACAGAGUUCUGCCCCCAAGGAACCGCAGUCCGGUAUGGUGGUAUACACCUGUAACCCUGGCACUCAGGAGGCCGAGGCAGGAGGAUCACAAAUUUAAGAUCUGUUUGUUUCUGGAAAGUGGCGUGGAAAUUUCCAAAAAGCAGCGAGGUGUGGCUGACUGGCUUCCUGGUUGGGGAGGAUUUUUCUUCAUUUGGAGGCAAACACUUCAGGUGGAGGAGGAGGGAGUGUCCCACCCAGCCGGGCCUUCCCAGCAAGCGGGAGGGCCUCUGAAUCCUGCUCACCCCCAGAUCUUGUCACCCCAAGUGAAGGGUGUCCAGAAUCUUCCACUUAGAACACCAGAACUUAACAUAGGGCUUCGCUUGUGGCCCGUGUUCCCGCUGACGCUCAGACGGGCAGGGAGAAUAGUUAUCUUGGUCCAUUAAAAUCACCUGUGUGUUGGGAGCCGUGGCACUGUCAAGUCAUCAGACGCGGUGAUUGCGAGGCCUGUGGGAAAGUACAAAAGCCUGGGCUAGAUUACCCCUCUCAUCGAGCCCGCCUGUGUGGCACCUGUUUCUUAUCACCCCACUAAGUUCCCGCCUCACAGGGUAGUCUGCCUAGCUAUUAAUCCUAUAUAUAGCCAGUGCCUCCACCCCCGAGAGAGAGAGAGAGAGAGAAGCACGAAAGGAGCCGCGGGGAGCGGACCAGAGGAGGCUUCGGAGCGAAGCACAAAAGGAGCCGCGGGGAGCGGACCGGUAGAGGCUUCGGGGCAGGCUGUACGCGGAGAAGGAAAAUAAAAGAAAAGGUUGUCCACCGCCAGACUUUGUCGUGUGUCCUUCCUGCCGGCCGGGAGCUCGGACACCGACAUUUGGUGGCCCGCCCGGGGAUUGAUCAACCCCGAGACGCGGUGGUGGACUGCAUUCUCCUACACAGUGCUGCAGCUGCAGGACAGGUGAGUAGAGGAUAAGCCUGGGCCCUGGGUGGCGCGCACCUACAGGGUUUGUAGACUCCUCUCAACCUCACGCGUAAGUGGCGGGUUUCUUGGGCCUCACGCGGUGAGUAUGAAACAUAACACCAGAACUUAAGGUAAUAAAAGAGUGUAAAACAUAAACAUAGAAGUAAAAAUAACAGAAGAUAUAUUAAAAAUGGGAAACAUGCCAAGUAAAGAUACACAGCCUUGGUGUUGGUCCUUCGGAGACUCCUAAAGUCCAAGGACCUCAAGGUGGGGCGUAAGACUUUAGAAAAUUUCCUUGCAGAGAUUGACAGCUUUGCUCCCUGGUUUCUGCCUACAGGGCAUGUAAACCUGCCCUCCUGGGAAAAGUUGGGCAGAGACCUUUCCCUAGCAGAGCGGGAGGGUAGAGCUUCAGUCUCUGCUCGUCCGUUGUGGGAAAUGAUACACACGUGCCUAAAGAGUGAGGGUAGUUACGGGGGGAGCUCUCAAGAACUUGUAGAAGUACGCGAGGUGUUUGAACAGGCACAGUCAGGAAGCUCCCGAGAAGGGUCCGUCAAGGAGGGCAGAGAUACAAAAGAGGAAGCCGAGGCGCGGUUUGUGUCUUUCCGCAGGAAUCGGGACGAGAGCCAAUGUGGGUCCCAGAGAGGUUGACGCGACAAGUCCCUCGACUGAAGAUCAGGCCUGUUCCACCAGAGGCCAACCGCAGACCCAACAACAAGAUGAGCCCUAAAAGAACUGCAGGACAAUCCCUUUUUGGGGGCCUGGAACGGCUUGCUCCCCUAUGUGCUACCCUUGUAUACGCAUGGCUCGCUCGCAUGGCCUACGACCGCGUUUAAAAGUGACAGGCUUCCCACAUUCUCCUCCCUAGACAACAACAUGUAGCAGGGUGGAUGAGUCAAUGACGGGUAAGAGCGUGCCUCCCCAGCACGACUCAACCUAAGCCAGGCCCUACCCCGUUCCGCUCGAAAGCCGCUGGAUUGUUAGAUAAAUUUCUCUCCGAGGGGAUUCGUGGAGAGAAAUGAGUGCAUGCCUAUGUGCAACCAGGUUCCGUCCGGUUCAUUCCUGGCCCUAGAAAAAAGGACGAGGGCCUCAGGGCCUUGGUGGACCCUGGGACGGCCGACCAGGGUCUACGCUAAGGGCCUACGGUGGGCCUCAGUUCAGGGCAUAGGCCUCUGCACUCUAUCCAGGACGGGCUGCGAUGCGCGUAUUCAUUUAAAAUAAAAUAGGGGGAGAUGUUGGGAGCCGUGGCACUGUCAAGUCAUCAGACGCGGUGAUUGCGAGGCCUGUGGGAAAGUACAAAAGCCUGGGCUAGAUUACCCCUCUCAUCGAGCCCGCCUGUGUGGCACCUGUUUCUUAUCACCCCACUAAGUUCCCGCCUCACAGGGUAGUCUGCCUAGCUAUUAAUCCUAUAUAUAGCCAGUGCCUCCACCCCCGAGAGAGAGAGAGAGAGAGAAGCACGAAAGGAGCCGCGGGGAGCGGACCAGAGGAGGCUUCGGAGCGAAGCACAAAAGGAGCCGCGGGGAGCGGACCGGUAGAGGCUUCGGGGCAGGCUGUACGCGGAGAAGGAAAAUAAAAGAAAAGGUUGUCCACCGCCAGACUUUGUCGUGUGUCCUUCCUGCCGGCCGGGAGCUCGGACACCGACACCUGUGUCUUUUUUUUUUUUAACAAGAGGAAAAAAAUAAUAAAACUGAGUUUCAAAACAGGUUA